UCCCCUCUGCCUCUCAAUGGCCUUUGUACUUAGGACCGAGAAUUAGUUCUUCCCUGGUCUUACUCAAAGCAACUUGGGCGCUGAUCGCAAUCCUAAGCACAAAGUACUUUCUUAUUUGUUUUGUACUUGUCUUUCCUGAACGGCUGGAGCAGACAGUGGUGUAUUUCAAUACUGGGUACAGAGGGAGCCACGGGCGAAAUCUGAGUGGUGCUUCAGGCCUCUGCGGUUUGUGUCUGUGGAUUCUUUGUCUUGGAGAGAAGACAGAGACUCCGAGAUCCAAGCAGUAAUCCAAGGUCUCCAAAAAAGAUUAUGAGACACCACGAAGUCUCCACCUGGAUUACGACACUGACCACUGGGCAAGAUGCCCCAGUGCAACACCUGCUGCCAGGACCUGGUCCAGACUGUGGGCAAACAGCAGGACCUUGGAGAAUUGAUUGCACCACUUUUUCCUAGACAAAAUAAGAUACAUCCAAGCAUCAGUUGCUGACUACAGUCUGUUCUGAAUGGUGGCGAGCCCUGGACUUCCUGAAAGCUGAUGUGCACCAGUCUAGCUGAUAUGAACGCUCCCUGUCCCUUCAACAAAGUCUGAUGAGUGCCCCAUUGCCUAAAUGUCCCUCCCACCUUUGGCUAGCCUUUCAACCUACUUGGGCCCAGAUAACAACGCCCCAAUGAUAGCUUGAAGUAGUUGUGGAAAGGAUUAUGCUGUCCCAUGCCCCCUGCCCAAAAUAGGUUAAAAGGCCGAGACAAGGGCAAACUCCCUGGCAUGGGGGACAAGAUAAAGUACCUAUAGUGCCUGUUGAUAUACUAAAAAAAAAUAGGUCCAGAGCUGUCAAUAGAUUUAUUAAUUUAAAUAGUUCUAUAUAUCCUUAAAAUCAGGGGCAAACACCACCCAAGAUUGGGUCCUGUCAUUGGUGCUUGUGAAGGGGGAAAUGAAGGAGUCAGCCAUGAUAAGCUAAAUAUGAGCAGAUCACCCAAAUAAAGUUCAUUACUUCCAACCAUUAUCACCUGCCAGAGUAGGCCUCAGCCAUUGAUAAAUUUAAUAGAGGCCUGAGUCUUAGUAGCUUACCCUGAAGCAAUACCUGG